rnacentral:rRNA from 1 species
AGAGUUUGAUCCUGGCUCAGGACGAACGCUGGCGGCGUGCCUAAUACAUGCAAGUAGAACGCUGAAGGAGGAGCUUGCUUCUCCGGAUGAGUUGCGAACGGGUGAGUAACGCGUAGGUAACCUGCCUGGUAGCGGGGGAUAACUAUUGGAAACGAUAGCUAAUACCGCAUAACAGUAGAUAUUGCAUGAUAUCUGCUUGAAAGGUGCAAUUGCAUCACUACCAGAUGGACCUGCGUUGUAUUAGCUAGUUGGUGGGGUAACGGCUCACCAAGGCGGCGAUACAUAGCCGACCUGAGAGGGUGAUCGGCCACACUGGGACUGAGACACGGCCCAGACUCCUACGGGAGGCAGCAGUAGGGAAUCUUCGGCAAUGGACGGAAGUCUGACCGAGCAACGCCGCGUGAGUGAAGAAGGUUUUCGGAUCGUAAAGCUCUGUUGUAAGAGAAGAACGAGUGUGAGAGUGGAAAGUUCACACUGUGACGGUAUCUUACCAGAAAGGGACGGCUAACUACGUGCCAGCAGCCGCGGU